CUCCUACGGGGGGCAGCAGUGAGGACUUUUGGUGUUUGUUCGGGAGCCUGCACCAGCCAAGCCGCGUGAGGGAUGAAGGUACAGAGUAUCGUAAACCUCUUUUGUCAGGGAACAAAGGCGGGGACGCGUCCCCGGAUGAGUGUACCUGAAGAAAAAGCAUCGGCUAACUCCGUGCCAGCAGCCGCGGUAAUACGGAGGAUGCGAGCGUUAUCCGGAUUUAUUGGGUUUAAAGGGUGCGCAGGCGGUCUGUUAAGUCAGCGGUCAAAGCCCGGGGCUCAACCCCGGGCCGCCGUUGAAACUGGCAG
rnacentral:rRNA from 1 species